rnacentral:rRNA from 1 species
GACGAACCGUGCGAACGUUGUUCGGAAUCACUGGGCUUAAAGGGCGCGUAGGCGGGCUGUCAAGUCUGGGGUGAAAUGCCACGGCUCAACCGUGGAACUGCCUUAGAUACUGACGGCCUCGAGGGAGGUAGGGGCGUGCGGAACUGUAGGUGGAGCGGUGAAAUGCGUUGAUAUCUACAGGAACGCCGGUGGCGAAAGCGG